rnacentral:rRNA from 1 species
AGGAUCAUUAUUGAAUUCGUCUUUGAAGUUGUUGCUGGCUCCUCUGGGGCAUGUGCACGCUUCAUAAGUCAUUUCAACCACCUGUGAACCUUUUGUAGUCUNGAGUGACGCUACCCUUUCAAAGGAAACUUUGGAUUUGAAUGUUGCAGGCUUGAGAAAGCCGGCUUCAUUCUGCAGCUGAACUCGGGUCUAUGCUUUACACACCCUUUGUAUGUUUUAGAAUGUGAUACGAGGGCUUAACCGCCUUUAAAUCUUAAUACAACUUUCAGCAACGGAUCUCUUGGCUCUCGCAUCGAUGAAGAACGCAGCGAAAUGCGAUAAGUAAUGUGAAUUGCAGAAUUCAGUGAAUCAUCGAAUCUUUGAACGCACCUUGCGCCCUUUGGUAUUCCGAAGGGCAUGCCUGUUUGAGUGUCAUUAAAUUCUCAAUCUUAUUAGGCUUUUUGUCUAAUAAGACUUGGAUGUGGAGGCUGCGGGCUUGUCUUCAAGUCGGCUCCUCUGAAAUGUAUUAGCUGGGUUUGCGCCUUCAGCCUAUUGGUGUGAUAAUUAUCUANGCCUCUUGGGUCGCUAGCGUGUAUUGACUUUCCAGCUUCUAAUCGUCCGCAAGGACAA